rnacentral:rRNA from 1 species
GAGGGCGGAACGAGUUAUCUGAACCUUCGGGGAACGAUAACGGCGUCGAGCGGCGGACGGGUGAGUAAUGCCUAGGAAAUUGCCCUGAUGUGGGGGAUAACCAUUGGAAACGAUGGCUAAUACCGCAUGAUGCCUACGGGCCAAAGAGGGGGACCUUCGGGCCUCUCGCGUCAGGAUAUGCCUAGGUGGGAUUAGCUAGUUGGUGAGGUAAGGGCUCACCAAGGCGACGAUCCCUAGCUGGUCUGAGAGGAUGAUCAGCCACACUGGAACUGAGACACGGUCCAGACUCCUACGGGAGGCAGCAGUGGGGAAUAUUGCACAAUGGGCGCAAGCCUGAUGCAGCCAUGCCGCGUGUGUGAAGAAGGCCUUCGGGUUGUAAAGCACUUUCAGUCGUGAGGAAGGCAGCGUCGUUAAUAGCUGCGUUGUUUGACGUUAGCGACAGAAGAAGCACCGGCUAACUCCGUGCCAGCAGCCGCGGUAAUACGGAGGGUGCGAGCGUUAAUCGGAAUUACUGGGCGUAAAGCGCAUGCAGGUGGUUUGUUAAGUCAGAUGUGAAAGCCCGGGGCUCAACCUCGGAAUAGCAUUUGAAACUGGCAGACUAGAGUACUGUAGAGGGGGGUAGAAUUUCAGGUGUAGCGGUGAAAUGCGUAGAGAUCUGAAGGAAUACCGGUGGCGAAGGCGGCCCCCUGGACAGAUACUGACACUCAGAUGCGAAAGCGUGGGGAGCAAACAGGAUUAGAUACCCUGGUAGUCCACGCCGUAAACGAUGUCUACUUGGAGGUUGUGGCCUUGAGCCGUGGCUUUCGGAGCUAACGCGUUAAGUAGACCGCCUGGGGAGUACGGUCGCAAGAUUAAAACUCAAAUGAAUUGACGGGGGCCCGCACAAGCGGUGGAGCAUGUGGUUUAAUUCUAUGCCACGCGAAGAACCUUACCUACUCUUGACAUCCAGAAAACUUUCCCAAAAUGGUUUGGUGCCUUCCGGAACACUAAAAAAAGUGCUG